GUCAGAAUGGCCGAGCGGUCUAAGGCGCCAGACUCAAGGUGUUAAACCUUCCUGUAAUGAGGAUUCUGGUCUCCACAUGGAGGCGUGGGUUCAAAUCCCACUUCUGACA